rnacentral:rRNA from 1 species
ACGAACGCUGGCGGCGUGCUUAACACAUGCAAGUCGAACGGAAAGGCCCUGCUUUUGUGGGGUGCUCGAGUGGCGAACGGGUGAGUAACACGUGAGUAACCUGCCCUUGACUUUGGGAUAACUUCAGGAAACUGGGGCUAAUACCGGAUAGGAGCUCCUGCUGCAUGGUGGGGGUUGGAAAGUUUCGGCGGUUGGGGAUGGACUCGCGGCUUAUCAGCUUGUUGGUGGGGUAGUGGCUUACCAAGGCUUUGACGGGUAGCCGGCCUGAGAGGGUGACCGGCCACAUUGGGACUGAGAUACGGCCCAGACUCCUACGGGAGGCAGCAGUGGGGAAAAUUGCACAAUGGGCGGAAGCCUGAUGCAGCAACGCCGCGUGCGGGAUGACGGCCUUCGGGUUGUAAACCGCUUUCGCCUGUGACGAAGCGUGAGUGACGGUAAUGGGUAAAGAAGCACCGGCUAACUACGUG